UACGUAGGGGGCAAGCGUUAUCCGGAUUUAUUGGGUGUAAAGGGUGUGUAGGCGGUUUAUUAAGUAUAAGAUCAAAGCCCGAGGCUUAACCUCGGUUCGUCUUAUAAACUGGUAGACUUGAGUAUGGUAGAGGUAAAUGGAAUUUCUAGUGUAGCGGUAAAAUGCGUAGAUAUUAGAAGGAACACCAGUGGCGAAGGCGAUUUACUGGGCCAUUACUGACGCUGAGACACGAAAGCGUGGGGAGCAAAUAGG
rnacentral:rRNA from 1 species